UACAGAGGGUGCGAGCGUUGUUCGGAAUUAUUGGGCGUAAAGGGCGCGUAGGCGGUCUGUUAUGUCGGAUGUGAAAGCCCUUGGCUCAACUAAGGAAGUGCAUCCGAAACUGGCAGGCUGGAGUACUAAAGAGGGUCGCGGAAUUCCCGGUGUAGAGGUGAAAUUCGUAGAUAUCGGGAGGAACACCGGUGGUGUAGACGGCUUUCUGGACCGUAACUGACGCUGAGACACGAAAGCGUGGGUAGCAAACAGG
rnacentral:rRNA from 1 species